AUUGAACGCUGGCGGCAUGCCUUACACAUGCAAGUCGAACGGCAGCACGGGAGCAAUCUUGGUGGCGAGUGGCGAACGGGUGAGUAAUAUAUCGGAACGUGCCCAGUAGUGGGGGAUAGCCCGGCGAAAGCCGGAUUAAUACCGCAUACGACCUGUGGGUGAAAGCGGGGGAUCGCAAGACCUCGCGCUAUUGGAGCGGCCGAUAUCAGAUUAGCUUGUUGGUGGGGUAAAAGCCCACCAAGGCGACGAUCUGUAGCUGGUCUGAGAGGACGACCAGCCACACUGGGACUGAGACACGGCCCAGACUCCUACGGGAGGCAGCAGUGGGGAAUUUUGGACAAUGGGCGCAAGCCUGAUCCAGCCAUGCCGCGUGUGGGAAGAAGGGCCUUCGGGUU
rnacentral:rRNA from 1 species